rnacentral:tRNA from 1 species
GAAGGUAUAUCUCAGUGGUAGAGUUCAUGCUUAGCAUGCACAAGGUCCUGGGUUCAAGCCCUAAUACCUCCA